rnacentral:rRNA from 1 species
UGGGGUACUGGGGCUUAGACGACGCUGGCGGCGUGCCUAAUACAUGCAAGUCGAGCGGACCUCUUCGGAGGUCAGCGGCGGACGGGUGAGUAACACGUGGGCAACCUGCCUGUAAGACUGGGAUAACUCCGGGAAACCGGAGCUAAUACCGGAUACUAUGUCAAACCGCAUGGUUUGACAUUCAAAGACGGUUUCGGCUGUCACUUACAGAUGGGCCCGCGGCGCAUUAGCUAGUUGGUGAGGUAAUGGCUCACCAAGGCGACGAUGCGUAGCCGACCUGAGAGGGUGAUCGGCCACACUGGGACUGAGACACGGCCCAGACUCCUACGGGAGGCAGCAGUAGGGAAUCUUCCGCAAUGGACGAAAGUCUGACGGAGCAACGCCGCGUGAGUGAUGAAGGUUUUCGGAUCGUAAAACUCUGUUGUCAGGGAAGAACAAGUGCCGGAGUAACUGCCGGCGCCUUGACGGUACCUGACCAGAAAGCCACGGCUAACUACGUGCCAGCCGCCGCGGUAAU